AAGCUGUAGCGGUUAUCACAUGGGAUCCUGAACGUUGUUUCCCAUGACCCAGGUUCGAUUCCUGGCAGGACCU